rnacentral:rRNA from 2 species
GUUCCCAUUCCGAACACGGCAGUUAAGCUCUUCAGCGCCGAUGGUAGUUGGGGGUUUCCCCCUGUGAGAGUAGGACGCCGCCAAGC